GCUGCGGCAGGCCUAAUACAUGCAAGUCGAGGGGUAUGAUUUUGAGUUUACUUGAAAUCAGAGACCGGCGCACGGGUGCGUAACACGUAUGCAACCUACCCUUUACAGGGGGAUAGCUCAGAGAAAUCUGAAUUAAUACCCCAUAGUUACAUUUUGCUGCAUGGUAAGAUGUAUAAAGCUCCGGCGGUAAAGGAUGGGCAUGCGUUACAUUAGCUAGUUGGUGAGGUAAUGGCUCACCAAGGCUACGAUGUAUAGGGGUUCUGAGAGGAUGAUCCCCCACACUGGUACUGAGACACGGACCAGACUCCUACGGGAGGCAGCAGUAGGGAAUAUUGGACAAUGGACGCAAGUCUGAUCCAGCCAUGCCGCGUGCAGGAUGACAGCCCUCUGGGUUGUAAACUGCUUUUAUAUGAGAAGAAACCCUCAGAUGCGUUUGAGGCUGUCGGUAUCAUAUGAAUAAGGAUCGGCUAACUUCGUGCCAGCAGCCGCGGUAAG
rnacentral:rRNA from 1 species